AAAAAAGUUUGUCAUCUAGAGGCUCAGGUGGUUGGACAAACCAAUUCAAGUCUUCUUCCAGCUGUGUAUCCUCCUCAAGCGUGGCUGCAUCUACUGUUUGAUCUCCCGAUUGACAGGCGUUAAAGCACUCAUUAGAAGGCAGAAUGUUGAAGGGUGAUCCAUUUACUGGAGAUGCUUGUGGCAAUGCUAGCUCGGAUUCUGCAACUUCCGGAGAGGAUUGCGCUGCAGUAGGAGAAGAAAGAGUAGCUUCUGGUUCUUCCGAAUUCAAACCUUCAACGCUGUCAUCUUGUUUCUUAAAUAAACG
rnacentral:misc_RNA from 1 species